AAGUUGACAUUGGUCCCCAGAGUAAAAUUUUUACAAUGCGAAAGAAAAAGUGGCCUCCAGGACUGACAGCAAAAUAGUGGUCAUGAAAGUCAAAAUUCACUAAAGAUUGUGUAACAACUCAACUGUCAAAUCAACUAGCUCCAGAAUGGAUGGCACUAAAGCGCACGACAUAUACCUGACCAUUGAGGCAAGAGUCGGGUCUUAAUG
rfam:Cajanus cajan CcLG02_579, whole genome shotgun sequence.